GGGCCCCUUCUGCUGGGAUGGAAGCUCACUUCCCAGUCCUCUUCCUGGACUUGAAUGCAGACGACCUGACAGUGACUCAACAGUUAACGGGACCCAACGCUGCCGGGGUUAACUCUAUCCUGCCCAAGGAGCACGGCAGCCAGUUUUUCUACCUGCCAAUCCUCAGACACAGUGAUGACGAGGUGUCAGCGCUGUGCUCCUGGGACUCAUCCAUCCAC